rnacentral:rRNA from 1 species
UACGUAGGGGGCAAGCGUUGUCCGGAUUUAUUGGGCGUAAAGAGCGUGUAGGCGGCUUUACAGGUCCGUUGUGAAAACUCGAGGCUCAACCUCGAGACGCCGAUGGAAACCAUGUGGCUAGAGUCCGGAAGAGGAGAGUGGAAUUCCUGGUGUAGCGGUGAAAUGCGCAGAUAUCAGGAAGAACACCCGUGGCUAAGGCGGCUCUCUAGUACGGUACUGACGCUGAGACGCGAAAGCGUGGGGAGCAAACAGG